rnacentral:rRNA from 1 species
AAUGGGGGAAACCCUGAUGUAGCAACGCCGCGUGGAGGAUGACGGAUCUAGGUCUGUAAACUCCUUUUAUAAGGGAAGAAAUUUGACGGUACCUUAUGAAUAAGCACCGGCUAACUCCGUGCCAGCAGCCGCGGUAAUACGGGGGGUGCAAGCGUUACUCGGAAUCACUGGGCGUAAAGGGAGCGUAGGCGUUUUAUUAAGUCUUGAGUGAAAGCUCGCAGCUCAACUGCGGAACUGCUCAGGAAACUGAUAGAAUUGAGUAUGGAAGAGGUAGGUGGAAUUUCCGGUGUAGGGGUAAAAUCCGUAGAUAUCGGAAGGAAUACCAGAAGCGAAGGCGACCUACUGGGACAUUACUGACGCUGAGGCUCGAAAGCGUGGGGAGCAAA